AGUUCGAGAUGUAACGCCAUCGGGUAGGAGGCCAGGAAUUUUCUCCGGCUUAUUUUUUCAAGGUUAUAAAAAUAGAACCGAAACAUGUUACCUUUUGAGACUGGCCAUAUUGCUUUCCAGAUUCAUCCAGGUUGUUGUUUGUGACAAAACUGGCUCAGGUGUUAUUGGUGAUCAUCAUUUCAAGAUGAAAGGACGUCAAACUGGCCCCAGUUUUUGGCUUAGAAUUAAAGCUGUUAUGAACAUUCA